rnacentral:rRNA from 1 species
GCCWWAGUUCURAGCCRRGASRMMGGAGSUWGCUCCCGGAUGWUAGCGGMGGACGGGUGAGUMACACGUGGGUAACCUGCCUGUAASACUGGGAUAACUCCGGGAAACCGGAGCUAAUACCGGAUAGUUCCUUGAACCGCAUGGKUCAAGGAUGAAAGACGGUUUCGGCUGUCACUUACAGAUGGACCCGSGGCGCAUUAGCUAGUUGGUGGGGUAAUGGCUCACCAAGGCGACSAUGCGUAGCCGACCUGAGAGGGUGAUCGGCCACACUGGGACUGAGACACGGCCCAGACUCCUACGGGAGGCAGCAGUAGGGAAUCUUCCGCAAUGGACGAAAGUCUGACGGAGCAACGCCGCGUGAGUGAUGAAGGUUUUCGGAUCGUAAAGCUCUGUUGUUAGGGAAGAACAAGUGCGAGAGUAACUGCUCGCACCUUGACGGUACCUAACCAGAAAGCCACGGCUAACUMYGUGCCAGCAGCCGC